rnacentral:rRNA from 1 species
CCUACGGGAGACAGCAGUCGAGAAUCUUUCACAAUGGGGGAAACCCUGAUGGUGCGACGCCGCGUGGGGGAAUGAAGGUCUUCGGAUUGUAAACCCCUGUCAUGUGGGAGCAAAGUAAAAAGAUAGUACCACAAGAGGAAGAGACGGCUAACUCGGUGCCAGCAGCUGCGGUAAUACAGAGGUCUCAAGCGUUGUUCGGAUUCACUGGGCGUAAAGUGUGCGUAGGCUGUUUCGUAAGUCGUGUGUGAAAGGCGCGGGCUCAACCCGCGGACGGCAUAUGAUACUGCGGGACUAGAGUAAUGGAGGGGGAACCGGAAUUCGCGGUGUAGCAGUGAAAUGCGUAGAUA